rnacentral:rRNA from 1 species
UACGUAGGGGCCAAGCGUUGUCCGGAUUUAUUGGGCGUAAAGAGCUCGUAGGCGGUUCGGCAAGUCAGCUGUGAAAUCUCCACGCUCAACGUGGAGGGGUCAGCUGAUACUGCUGUGACUCGAGUCCGGUAGGGGAGUGUGGAAUUCCCGGCGUAGCGGUGAAAUGCGCAGAUAUCGGGAGGAACACCAGUAGCGAAGGCGGCACUCUGGGCAUGUCCUGACGCUGAGGAGCGAAAGUGUGGGGAGCGAACAGG